AAAGGGACCCCGUAGGUGACCUGCGGAGGGAUCAUUACACAAAUAUGAAGGCGGGCUGGAACCUCUCGGGGUUACAGCCUUGCUGAAUUAUUCACCCUUGUCUUUUGCGUACUUCUUGUUUCCUUGGUGGGUUCGCCCACCACUAGGACAAACAUAAACCUUUUGUAAUUGCAAUCAGCGUCAGUAACAAAUUAAUAAUUACAACUUUCAACAACGGAUCUCUUGGUUCUGGCAUCGAUGAAGAACGCAGCGAAAUGCGAUAAGUAGUGUGAAUUGCAGAAUUCAGUGAAUCAUCGAAUCUUUGAACGCACAUUGCGCCCUUUGGUAUUCCAAAGGGCAUGCCUGUUCGAGCGUCAUUUGUACCCUCAAGCUUUGCUUGGUGUUGGGCGUCUUGUCUCUAGCUUUGCUGGAGACUCGCCUUAAAGUAAUUGGCAGCCGGCCUACUGGUUUCGGAGCGCAGCACAAGUCGCACUCUCUAUCAGCAAAGGUCUAGCAUCCAUUAAGCCUUUUUUUCAACUUUUGACCUCGGAUCAGGUAGGGAUACCCGCUGAACUUA
rnacentral:rRNA from 1 species